rnacentral:sRNA from 1 species
UAGCAUAUGUUAAUUGUGACGGCUUCGA